AGAGUUUGAUCCUGGCUCAGAAUCAACGCUGCGGCAUGCCUAACACAUGCAAGUCGAGCGAGAAAGGGUAGCAAUACCUGAGUAAAGCGGCGCACGGGUGAGUAACACGUGGAUAACCUGCCUCGAAGUGGGGAAUAACACCGGGAAACCGGUGCUGAUACCGCAUAUACUGAUAAGAUCUGCGGAUUUUAUCAGGAAAGGAGCAAUUCGCUUUGAGAGGGGUCCGCGGCUGAUUAGCUAGUUGGUGAGGUAAUGGCCCACCAAGGCAACGAUCAGUAGCCGGUCUGAGAGGACGGUCGGCCACACUGGAACUGAGACACGGUCCAGACUCCUACGGGAGGCAGCAGUGGGAAAUUUUUCGCAAUGGGGGAAACCCUGACGAAGCAAUGCCACGUGAGUGAUGAAGUCUCUUGGGACGUAAAACCCUUUCGACGGGGACGAAGC
rnacentral:rRNA from 1 species